rnacentral:tRNA from 1 species
GCUGGUUUGGCUCAGUGGAUAGAGCUUUGGCCCUCGGACUGAAGGGUCCUGGGUUCAAUUCCCAGGACAAGUA